rnacentral:rRNA from 1 species
GAUGAACGCUGGCGGCGUGCCUAAUACAUGCAAGUCGAGCGUACAGACGAGGAGCUUGCUCCUCUGACGUUAGCGGCGGACGGGUGAGUAACACGUGGAUAACCUACCUAUAAGACUGGGAUAACUUCGGGAAACCGGAGCUAAUACCGGAUAAUAUAUUGAACCGCAUGGUUCAAUAGUGAAAGACGGUUUUGCUGUCACUUAUAGAUGGAUCCGCGCCGCAUUAGCUAGUUGGUAAGGUAACGGCUUACCAAGGCAACGAUGCGUAGCCGACCUGAGAGGGUGAUCGGCCACACUGGAACUGAGACACGGUCCAGACUCCUACGGGAGGCAGCAGUAGGGAAUCUUCCGCAAUGGGCGAAAGCCUGACGGAGCAACGCCGCGUGAGUGAUGAAGGUCUUCGGAUCGUAAAACUCUGUUAUUAGGGAAGAACAAAUGUGUAAGUAAAUAUGCACGUCUUGACGGUACCUAAUCAGAAAGCCACGGCUAACUACGUG